CGCGCAGGCGGUCUUAUAAGUCAGAUGUGAAAGCCCACGGCUUAACCGUGGAAGAGCAUUUGAAACUGCAAGACUUGAGUACCAGAGGGGAAAGUGGAAUUCCCGGUGUAGAGGUGAAAUUCGUAGAUAUCGGGAGGAAUACCGGUGGCGAAGGCGACUUUCUGGCUGGAUACUGACGCUGAGGCGCGAAAGCGUGGGGAGCAAACA
rnacentral:rRNA from 1 species